CCUGCCUCUAGAGGCAUUGCGGAUGUGGCUGUUGUGUCACGUGCAUCAGUAGGUGGCAGAAAGGAGAGAGACUAUGUCUAACAUU
rnacentral:snoRNA from 1 species